GAGUAAUUUCUAUCCGGUUGGUGUUUUCCGGGGAACACUAGUGUGUCCUCUAUGUCCAAGGCAUCACCGGGUAGUUAUUACGCCU
rnacentral:pre_miRNA from 1 species